AACGAACGCUGGCGGCAGGCUUAACACAUGCAAGUCGAACGCCCGCAAGGGGAGUGGCAGACGGGUGAGUCACGCGUGGGAACAUACCCUUUUCUACGGAAUAGCUCUGGGAAACUGGAACUAAUACCGUAUACGCCCUACGGGGGCAAGGUUUAGCGGGGAAGGAUUGGCCCGCGUUGGAUGCGCUAGUUGGUGGGGGAAAGGCCUACCAAGGCGACGAUCCAUUGCUGGUCUGAGAGGAUGAUCAGCCACAUUGGGACUGAGGCACGGCCCAAACUCCUACGGGAGGCAGCAGUGGGGAAUAUUGGACAAUGGGCGCAAGCCUGAUCCAGCCAUGCCGCGUGAGUGAUGAAGGCCUUAGGGUUGUAAAGUUCUUUCACCGAUGAAGAUAAUGACGGUAGUCGGAGAAGAAGCCCCGGCUAACUUCGUGCCAGCCGCCGCCGUAAUAC
rnacentral:rRNA from 1 species